rnacentral:rRNA from 1 species
UACGGGGGGAGCAAGCGUUGUUCGGAUUUACUGGGCGUAAAGGGCGCGUAGGCGGCAAUUCAAGUCAGCUGUGAAAUCUCCGGGCUUAACUCGGAACGGGCAGCUGAUACUGCUUUGCUAGAGUGCAGAAGGGGCAAUCGGAAUUCCUGGUGUAGCGGUGAAAUGCGUAGAGAUCAGGAAGAACACCGGUGGCGAAGGCGCUCUGCUGGGCCGCAACUGACACUGAGGGACGAAAGCUAGGGGAGCGAAUGGG